rnacentral:rRNA from 1 species
AUUGAACGCUGGCGGCAUGCUUUACACAUGCAAGUCGAACGGUAACAGGCCGCAAGGUGCUGACGAGUGGCGAACGGGUGAGUAAUGCAUCGGAACGUGCCCAGUCGUGGGGGAUAACUACUCGAAAGAGUAGCUAAUACCGCAUACGAUCUAUGGAUGAAAGCGGGGGACCGUAAGGCCUCGCGCGAUUGGAGCGGCCGAUGUCAGAUUAGGUAGUUGGUGGGGUAAAGGCUCACCAAGCCAACGAUCUGUAGCUGGUCUGAGAGGACGACCAGCCACACUGGGACUGAGACACGGCGCAGACUCCUACGGGAGGCAGCAGUGGGGAAUUUUGGACAAUGGGCGCAAGCCUGAUCCAGCAAUGCCGCGUGCAGGAAGAAGGCCUUCGGGUUGUAAACUGCUUUUGUACGGAACGAAACGGCUCUGGUUAAUACCCGGGGCUAAUGACGGUACCGUAAGAAUAAGCACCGGCUAACUACGUG